UUCUUACAAACAUGGAUGGUGAAGAGCUUCCACGUCCCGUGAAUACAGAUGCAGUCAAGAAAUACUUCGCCUAAAAAAUGAAAAGAACAGCUCGCUAAGUUGAAAACCCGAAAGGGCGGCUUAGGCAAAAAUGAGCGUCUCGGUGGACUGAAAACCUGAAAGGGCGGUCCAAGCAGAAAUUAGAGACAUAAAAAAACAAAGAGAAUAUUAUCCCGGUAGAUUGAAAACCCGAAAGGGCAAUCUAGGCAAAAGUUAGGGAUUUCAGGCAAGUAACUGCAUAACAGAGAUAAGAUCAUUGAAGUAUCAGAAUAUUUUCAACAGUUCUCCAACUUUCUCAAGGCUGCAAUACAGGUCAAAAGUGGAAGAGAGAAUGAUGUCAUUGUAGUUCAACGUACCCUUUUUCCACGAAAUUACCAUUUUCCAAUUUGUAAAGAUCUAUGGAAUCACGCUGUUGGCUGAUUACCAUCCUAUCAAAUCAAUUUGAGCCUUUCUAUAUUUCUUGGCACUCUUAAUUUUCAUUUCAAUUUACGAAAGUUCUUUUACUUUGACAGAUAUGUUUUGAAACAAAAGUUUUGAAUUAAAAACAGUU
rnacentral:lncRNA from 1 species